GGUCAAGCGGGUAAGGGCACAUGGUGGAUGCCUUGGCAUCAAGGGCCGAAGAAGGGCGUGGCAAGACUGCGAAAAGCCUCGGCGAGCUGUCUAGUAAGCCUAGCCGGGGAUUCCCGAAUGGGGCAACCCGUCCUUCCGAACGAAGGACACUCCCGGCUGAACACAUAGGCCGGGUAGAGGUAAGCAGGGGAAGUGAAACAUCUCAGUACCCUGAGGAAAAGAGAAUAUUCCCUGAGUAGUGGCGAACGAAAGGGGAAAAGCCUAAACCCGGUGAGCUAAGUGGUUUCAGGACCUAUGCUUACCGGGAGUUGUAAGGCAGGUAGGACCGAACCUGAAAUAGGUCAGGGAGUUACCAACCGAACUCUAGUUGAAGGUCUCUGGAAAGGGCCACCACAGACGGUGAUAGUCCGGUAAACGAAAGAGGGAGGCUCCUUAUCUGUCCUUGAGUACCACGGGACACGAGGAAUCCUGUGGGAAUCCGCCCUGACCACAGGGCAAGGCUAAAUACCCUUGAUGACCGAUAGUGAACUAGUACCGUGAGGGAAAGGUGAAAAGUACCCCAAGAGGGGAGUGAAAUAGACCUGAAACCGUGUGCCUACAAGCAGUCAGAGCCUUUCACUUGUGAAAGGUGAUGGCGUGCCUAUUGAAGAAUGAGCCGGUGAGUUGAUCUGUGUGGCCGGUUAAGCAAUUUGCAUUGCGGAGCCGAAGCGAAAGCGAGUCUUAAUAGGGCGAUUUAGUCGCAUGGAUCAGACCCGAAGCCGGGUGAGCUACCCAUGGCCAGGGUGAAGCUUCGAUAAGCUCGAAGUGGAGGCCCGAACCUGUCAACGUUGCAAAGUUGUAGGAAGAGCUGUGGGUAGAGGUGAAAUGCCAAUCGAACCCGGUGAUAGCUGGUUCUCCCCGAAAUGCAUUUAGGUGCAGCCUCAGGUGAUAGUUAAUGGAGGUAGGGCUCUGGAUGGACUAGGGGGAUAGUAUCUUACCAACUCCAACCAAACCACAAAUGCCAUUAGUCAAAAUCUGAGAGUGAGACUGCGGGGGAUAAGCUCCGUAGUCGAGAGGGAAACAGCCCAGACCAUCAGCUAAGGUCCCCAAGAGCAGACUAAGUGGGCAAGGAAGUAUGAUUGCCCAGACAGCCAGGAGGUUGGCUUAGAAGCAGCCACCCUUUAAAGAAUGCGUAACAGCUCACUGGUUGAGUGGUCUUGCGC
rnacentral:rRNA from 1 species